rnacentral:rRNA from 1 species
GAUGAACGCUGGCGGCGUGCCUAAUACAUGCAAGUCGAGCGAACGGACGAGGAGCUUGCUCCUUUGACGUUAGCGGCGGACGGGUGAGUAACACGUGGGUAACCUACCUAUAAGACUGGGAUAACUUCGGGAAACCGGAGCUAAUACCGGAUAAUAUUUCGAACCGCAUGGUUCGAUAGUGAAAGAUGGCUUUGCUAUCACUUAUAGAUGGACCUGCGCCGUAUUAGCUAGUUGGUAAGGUAACGGCUUACCAAGGCAACGAUACGUAGCCGACCUGAGAGGGUGAUCGGCCACACUGGAACUGAGACACGGUCCAGACUCCUACGGGAGGCAGCAGUAGGGAAUCUUCCGCAAUGGGCGAAAGCCUGACGGAGCAACGCCGCGUGAGUGAUGAAGGUCUUCGGAUCGUAAAACUCUGUUAUUAGGGAAGAACAAACGUGUAAGUAACUGUGCACGUCUUGACGGUACCUAAUCAGAAAGCCACGGCUAACUACGUG